AACAAACGCUGGCGGCGUGCCUAAUACAUGCAAGUCGAACGGGGAAAGCUUUCGGGUGAGUACUAGUGGCGCACGGGUGAGUAACGCGUGGAUAAUCUGCCUUAGAGUGGGGGAUAACUAGUCGAAAGAUUAGCUAAUACCGCAUAAGACCACAAGAACUGCGGUUCAAGGGGUCAAAGGUUUUUCGCUCUAAGAUGAGUCCGCGUAAGAUUAGCUAGUUGGUAGGGUAACGGCCUACCAAGGCGACGAUCUUUAACUGGUCUGAGAGGAUGAUCAGGCACACUGGAGCUGAGACACGGUCCAGACUCCUACGGGAGGCAGCAGUAGGGAAUAUUGCGCAAUGGAGGAAACUCUGAUGCAGCGACGCCGCGUGAGUGAUGAAGGCCUUCGGGUCGUAAAGCUCUGUCGCAGGGGAAUAACACAAUGAAGGUACCCUGUAAGAAAGGAUCGGCUAACUUCGUGCCAGCCGCCGCCGUAACAC
rnacentral:rRNA from 1 species